rnacentral:misc_RNA from 1 species
CGCACAUUGCGCCCGCCAGCAUUCUGGCGGGCAUGCCUGUCCGAGCGUCAUUUCAACCCUCAAGCUCUGCUUGGUUUUGGGGCACUAUAGUCGAUAUAGGCCCUUAAAGGUAGUGGCGGACCCUCCCGGAGCCCCCUUUGCGUAGUAACAUCUCGUCUCGCACUGGGAUCCGGAGGGACUCCUGCCGUAAAACCCCCUAUUUUUCAAAGGUUGACCUCGGAUCAGGUAGGAAUACCCGCUGAACUUAA